CAAUCACAAUCUAAGGAAUUGUGAUCAACUCAAGAACACCAAUUUCAAAAUAUAAUAAAAAAUAUCAUCCAAACAAAUUAAUCGCAUGAUCCAUGAAAUCAAUAAUUUACAAACCGAAAAAAAAAGAUUGAGAGAGAGAAAGAAAGAGAGAGAGAGAGAGACUGAGAGAGAGAGUACAUAAGGAUUUUUUUAGGUAGUUCCUCAAUUGACCUCGCUAUGGGUAUGUCUGCCCUCAAUUCAAACUAGAAUUGAGAUAGUGUAAUUAACCUUACUUCGCAAAAAGCGUAUCCAAGAUAAAUAUAACAAUCUAAUCACACAAAUCCUAAGCUUGGUGUUGAUUCUAACACUUUCUCUUCCCUUGAACAAAUC
rnacentral:lncRNA from 1 species